rnacentral:rRNA from 1 species
UACGAAGGGGGCUAGCGUUGCUCGGAAUCACUGGGCGUAAAGCGCACGUAGGCGGAUUGUUAAGUCAGGGGUGAAAUCCUGGAGCUCAACUCCAGAACUGCCUUUGAUACUGGCGAUCUCGAGUCCGGGAGAGGUGAGUGGAACUGCGAGUGUAGAGAUGAAAUUCGUAGAUAUUCGCAAGAACACCAGUGGCGAAGGCGGCUCACUGGCCCGGUACUGACGCUGAGGUGCGAAAGCGUGGGGAGCAAACAGG